AACCUAUUUCUUCCGUUCCGAAUAACUUGUCACAAGUAUGGAUGUAUCUAGAUGUAUUUUAAUUUUAGAUACAUCAAUUUCUGCGACAAGUAAUUUGGAACGGAGGAAGUAUAAG
rfam:Triticum aestivum genome assembly, contig: Triticum_aestivum_CS42_TGACv1_scaffold_306977_4AS